UGCGUCUGUAUGUGCUGGUGACCUCAUACGACCCUCUCCUGAUCUAGCUCUAUGAGGAGGGCCUGGUCAGGUUUGCCACAGUGAAGUAUGACCACGCCAUGGCAAACAUCAAGAACCAGUUCAUGCAUCUGACCAACUACAGUGUUAACAAGAAGAGCAGCGACUACGUCAGCUGCGAUGACCCUGAAGUAGAGGAUUAUGGGAACAAAUGGAGCAUGAGCGCAAUGCUGAGAUAUUUGAGGCAAGAAGGCAAAGACA